CGUUCCCGGGCCUUGUACACACCGCCCGUCAAGUCAUGAAAGUCAGUAACACCCGAAGCCGGUGGCCCAACCCCUUGUGGGAGGGAGCCGUCGAAGGUGGGACCGGCGAUUAGGACU
rnacentral:rRNA from 1 species